AGCGAACGCUGGCGGCAGGCUUAACACAUGCAAGUCGAACGGGCACUUCGGUGUCAGUGGCAGACGGGUGAGUAACACGUGGGAACGUACCUUUUGGUUCGGAACAACUGAGGGAAACUUCAGCUAAUACCGGAUAAGCCCUUACGGGGAAAGAUUUAUCGCCGAAAGAUCGGCCCGCGUCUGAUUAGCUAGUUGGUAGGGUAAUGGCCUACCAAGGCGACGAUCAGUAGCUGGUCUGAGAGGAUGAGCAGCCACAUUGGGACUGAGACACGGACCGAACUCCUACGGGAGGCAGGAGUGGGGAAUAUUGGACAAUGGGGGCAACCCUGAUCCAGCCAUGCCGCGUGAGUGAUGAAGGCACUAGGGUUGUAAAGCUCUUUUGUGCGGGAAGAUAAUGACGGUACCGCAAGAAUAAGCCCCGGCUAACUUCGUGCCAGCCGCCGCGGUAAGAC
rnacentral:rRNA from 1 species